rnacentral:misc_RNA from 1 species
UUUCCGUAGGUGAACCUGCGGAAGGAUCAUUAUUGGAUUUUGAAACUUCAGGCUUCUGCUGGCUCUCCUCGGAGGGCAUGUGCACGCUUGUUGUCCAUUAUUUCUCCCACUGUGCACAAAUUGUAGACCUUUCAGUAGGCCUAUGUUGUUUUUCACAAUCUCUGAAUGUAAUAGAAUGGUUUUGAAUCUUGGGAAAUACAAUACAACUUUCAGCAACGGAUCUCUUGGCUCUC